rnacentral:rRNA from 1 species
GAUGAACGCUGGCGGCGUGCUUAACACAUGCAAGUCGAACGAUGAAGGGGGAGCUUGCUCCUCUGGAUUAGUGGCGAACGGGUGAGUAACACGUGAGCAAUCUGCCCCUGACUCUGGAAUAAGCGUUGGAAACGACGUCUAAUACCGGAUACGAGCCGAGCAGGCAUCUGCAUCGGUUGGAAAGAACUUCGGUCAGGGAUGAGCUCGCGGCCUAUCAGCUAGUUGGUGAGGUAAUGGCUCACCAAGGCGACGACGGGUAGCCGGCCUGAGAGGGUGACCGGCCACACUGGGACUGAGACACGGCCCAGACUCCUACGGGAGGCAGCAGUGGGGAAUAUUGCACAAUGGGCGCAAGCCUGAUGCAGCAACGCCGCGUGAGGGACGACGGCCUUCGGGUUGUAAACCUCUUUUAGCAGGGAAGAAGCGAGAGUGACGGUACCUGCAGAAAAAGCACCGGCUAACUACGUGCCAGCAGCCGCCGUAA